rnacentral:rRNA from 1 species
GACGAAGGAUCCAAGCGUUAUCCGGAUUCAUUGGGUUUAAAGGGUGCGUAGGCGGGUUUGUAAGUCAGUGGUGAAAGCCGGCAGCUCAACUGUCGAAUUGCCAUUGAUACUGCGGACCUAGAAUAUAGAUGACGUUGGCGGAAUAUGACAUGUAGCGGUGAAAUGCAUAGAUAUUGGGAAGAACACCGGUGGCGAAGGCGGCGACCUGGUCCGAUACUGACGCUGAGGCGCGAAAGCGUGGGGAGCAAACAGG